AAGUAUCUGUUGCUAUUAAAGCUUCACUGAAAAUAUAUUUAAAUACAAGUACCAGAGUACAAAUGCAGUAAAGCAUAAUGAUGUUUUUCUCUCCCACCUAUUACUGUGGUAUCGACUUCUGUUACUAGGAUGCACCAUAAACAGAAAACAAAUUAUAUUACAUCUUUUCUAGUUUCUUUGACUUUGAGAGCCUUUGACCUUUUUUUUUUGGUUAAGCUCAUGAAGAUAAACCACCUGCAUAAAAAGAAAGCAUGUAACAAAUUAGGUUGAUACAGAACACUAGCAAAAAAAAUUGCCUGUUUUUUUUUCUUUCCAGAAUUGAAAAUGUGACUUCAGAUGAAUGAAGAGAAGGUACCUUAAAAUGCCACUGCAUUCAGUAUUCAAAGCGUCAAGGAAGCAGCAGGUGAAGCUAAGCAGAAUCACAUCAGAUACCUGUACAAUUAGCACACAGGCCCCACAAGGCUGUGUGCUCUCUCCACUUCUCUUCUCUCUAUAUACCAAUGACUGCAUCUCAAACGAUCCAUCUGUUAAACUACUGAAGUUUGCACAUGACACAACAGUGAUCGGUCUCAUUUGAGACAAUGAUGAAUCCGCAUACAGACAGGAGGUUGAACAACUAGCCUCGUCGUGUGACCAGAACAAUCUGGAACUGAACACACUCAAAACUGUAGAAAUGGUGGUGGACUUUAGCAGAAACCUUCCCAUACUACCACCUCUUAGAAUACUAGACAACACAGUAUCAACAGUUGAGACCUUCAAAUUUCUAGGUUCUACCAUAUCUCACAACCUAAAAUGGACACCCAACAUCAAAAAUGUCAUCAAAAAAGCACAACAAAGAAUGUUCUUUCUGUGCCAACUCAGAAAGCUCAAACUGCCCAAAGAGCUGCUGAUACAGUUCUACAGAGGAAUUAUUGAGUCUGUCAUCUGCACCUCUAUAACUGUCUGGUUUGGUUCUGCAACCCAACAAGACAGACACAGACUUCAGAGGAACUGCAGAAAAAACAAUUACUACCAAUCUGCCUUCCAUUGAGGACCUGUAUACUGCACAAGUCAAAAAGAAGGCUGUGAAAAUAUUUACAGACCCCUCACAUCCUGGACAUAAACUGUUUCAACUCCUACCCUCAAAAUGACACUAUAGAGCACUGCACAUCAGAAAAACUAGACACAAGAACAGUUUUUUCCCCGAACGUCAUCACUCUACUAAAGAAAUAAUUCCCUCAACGCUGUCAAACUAGUUACUAAGUCUGCAUUACUAUUAAUCUUCUCAUCGUUCCUAUCGCCCAUCUCCUUCCACUUAUGACUGUAUGACUGUAACCUUGUAGCUGGUAUCCUUAAGAUUUAUAUUGACUGUUUCCCUAUGACUAUCAUUAAGUGUUGUACUUUAUGAUUUUGAUGAAUAUAUCUUUUCUUUUAUUUACACCAAGAGGGUAUGCACCAAGACAAAUUCCUAGUGUGUCCAAUCACACUUGGCCAAUAAAGAAUUCUAUUCUA